UAUAAAAAUAAAAUUAAAAGAAACCCUAAACUAAUGCUCAGUCAUUUGAAAUCAACACCAAAACUUAGCCGCCUCCCCUCUCAUUCGGCCGAAAAAAAAGAAAGACUUCAAUUGUUGUUUUGCCUCUGUAUUCGGCCGACGGUCAUCAAGUGAAGGCCAAAUCUAGCCCUGUUCGACCACGAAUCCAAGGGUCGUGCUCCUGAGCCUCCGAAUCUUCGCCUAGGCUUCGAUAACGACGAAGCAAGCAAGGACUCGAAGGAGUUACUACUAAGAUAAGUCUCUUCCGCCCUUAUUUGAUCUCUAUCUCCUUUUUUAAAACCAAAAAUCAAAAAUAAAAGGGAAGAAAAAAGGGUUAUUUCAGAUCCUAUUUUCCCUCUUUUAAACCCUCGUUGGGAACCCAACGGGUUUGUGGCAUCAAAACGCCGGCGACGGCCUUUAACCGUGGUGAGAAAACAAGACAACAGGAUGGCAGAGAGUGGUUGAAGGCAGAAGGUAUGGCGAUGGUACGGCGGCUGAACUUAGGUUUUUUUUUUGUUUCUUUUUUCUGAUUUUUUAAUGUAUUUGGCUAGGGUAUUUUUUGGGCUUGGGGCAUUUUGGGUUUAAUUGGGCCUGGACGGAUUUGGCCCAUUACACAUGUCAUCUUUCUUUUACAAGCGGUUUUAGGGAUGGUUUUGUCGCUAUCCUCUCCAGUUUGAUGGAUGCUUGGUUCUUUUGUCAAUUUUACCCCAUCAUUUUGGGCCAUCUAAAGCUGAUUUCAUUAUUGUAUUAAGUGCUUGCAACCACUCUAAAUAUGCUGUACUUGAAUUGUGAUAGAGCCAAUUGUCAACGUGCCAUAACGUUCAUUUGAUGCUAAGGCUAAAACCUUUAUUGUAUUGAUAGAGCUUGUCCUUCACUGUCUACAAGUGUUUUUUUUUUCUUUUCAAAUUGUACAUUCUCAUUCUUGAAAUGAAUUAAUGAAUUUAUCUUUAAAAGAAA